GACGAACGCUGGCGGCGUGCCUAAUACAUGCAAGUCGAGCGGACGAAUCGAAAGCUUGCUUUUGAUUCGUUAGCGGCGGACGGGUGAGUAACACGUGGGCAACCUGCCCUGUAGACGGGGAUAACACCGAGAAAUCGUUGCUAAUACCGGAUAACACGAAAUGUCGCAUGACGUUUCGUUGAAAGACGGCGCAAGCUGUCGCUACAGGAUGGGCCCGCGGCGCAUUAGCUAGUUGGUGAGGUAACGGCUCACCAAGGCGACGAUGCGUAGCCGACCUGAGAGGGUGAUCGGCCACACUGGGACUGAGACACGGCCCAGACUCCUACGGGAGGCAGCAGUAGGGAAUCUUCCGCAAUGGACGAAAGUCUGACGGAGCAACGCCGCGUGAGCGAAGAAGGCCUUCGGGUCGUAAAGCUCUGUUGUUAGGGAAGAACAAGUAACGCAGUAACUGGCGUUACCGUGACGGUACCUAACGAGAAAGCCACGGCUAACUACGUG
rnacentral:rRNA from 1 species